rnacentral:rRNA from 1 species
ACACUAACUGGAGGACCGAACCGACUAAUGUUGAAAAAUUAGCGGAUGACUUGUGGCUGGGGGUGAAAGGCCAAUCAAACCGGGAGAUAGCUGGUUCUCCCCGAAAGCUAUUUAGGUAGCGCCUCGUGAAUUCAUCUCCGGGGGUAGAGCACUGUUUCGGCAAGGGGGUCAUCCCGACUUACCAACCCGAUGCAAACUGCGAAUACCGGAGAAUGUUAUCACGGGAGACACACGGCGGGUGCUAACGUCCGUCGUGAAGAGGGAAACAACCCAGACCGCCAGCUAAGGUCCCAAAGUCAUGGUUAAGUGGGAAACGAUGUGGGAAGGCCCAGACAGCCAGGAUGUUGGCUUAGAAGCAGCCAUCAUUUAAAGAAAGCGUAAUAGCUCACUGGUCGAGUCGGCCUGCGCGGAAGAUGUAACGGGGCUAAACCAUGCACCGAAGCUGCGGCAGCGACGCUUAUGCGUUGUUGGGUAGGGGAGCGUUCUGUAAGCCUGUGAAGGUGUGCUGUGAGGCAUGCUGGAGGUAUCAGAAGUGCGAAUGCUGACAUAAGUAACGAUAAAGCGGGUGAAAAGCCCGCUCGCCGGAAGACCAAGGGUUCCUGUCCAACGUUAAUCGGGGCAGGGUGAGUCGACCCCUAAGGCGAGGCCGAAAGGCGUAGUCGAUGGGAAACAGGUUAAUAUUCCUGUACUUGGUGUUACUGCGAAGGGGGGACGGAGAAGGCUAUGUUGGCCGGGCGACGGUUGUCCCGGUUUAAGCGUGUAGGCUGGUUUUCCAGGCAAAUCCGGAAAAUCAAGGCUGAGGCGUGAUGACGAGGCACUACGGUGCUGAAGCAACAAAUGCCCUGCUUCCAGGAAAAGCCUCUAAGCAUCAGGUAACAUCAAAUCGUACCCCAAACCGACACAGGUGGUCAGGUAGAGAAUACCAAGGCGCUUGAGAGAACUCGGGUGAAGGAACUAGGCAAAAUGGUGCCGUAACUUCGGGAGAAGGCACGCUGAUAUGUAGGUGAAGUCCCUCGCGGAUGGAGCUGAAAUCAGUCGAAGAUACCAGCUGGCUGCAACUGUUUAUUAAAAACACAGCACUGUGCAAACACGAAAGUGGACGUAUACGGUGUGACGCCUGCCCGGUGCCGGAAGGUUAAUUGAUGGGGUCAGCGCAAGCGAAGCUCUUGAUCGAAGCCCCGGUAAACGGCGGCCGUAACUAUAACGGUCCUAAGGUAGCGAAAUUCCUUGUCGGGUAAGUUCCGACCUGCACGAAUGGCGUAAUGAUGGCCAGGCUGUCUCCACCCGAGACUCAGUGAAAUUGAACUCGCUGUGAAGAUGCAGUGUACCCGCGGCAAGACGGAAAGACCCCGUGAACCUUUACUAUAGCUUGACACUGAACAUUGAGCCUUGAUGUGUAGGAUAGGUGGGAGGCUUAGAAGUGUGGACGCCAGUCUGCAUGGAGCCGACCUUGAAAUACCACCCUUUAAUGUUUGAUGUUCUAACGUUGACCCGUAAUCCGGGUUGCGGACAGUGUCUGGUGGGUAGUUUGACUGGGGCGGUCUCCUCCUAAAGAGUAACGGAGGAGCACGAAGGUUGGCUAAUCCUGGUCGGACAUCAGGAGGUUAGUGCAAUGGCAUAAGCCAGCUUGACUGCGAGCGUGACGGCGCGAGCAGGUGCGAAAGCAGGUCAUAGUGAUCCGGUGGUUCUGAAUGGAAGGGCCAUCGCUCAACGGAUAAAAGGUACUCCGGGGAUAACAGGCUGAUACCGCCCAAGAGUUCAUAUCGACGGCGGUGUUUGGCACCUCGAUGUCGGCUCAUCACAUCCUGGGGCUGAAGUAGGUCCCAAGGGUAUGGCUGUUCGCCAUUUAAAGUGGUACGCGAGCUGGGUUUAGAACGUCGUGAGACAGUUCGGUCCCUAUCUGCCGUGGGCGCUGGAGAACUGAGGGGGGCUGCUCCUAGUACGAGAGGACCGGAGUGGACGCAUCACUGGUGUUCGGGUUGUCAUGCCAAUGGCACUGCCCGGUAGCUAAAUGCGGAAGAGAUAAGUGCUGAAAGCAUCUAA